GUCGCCGCUUCUCUGAAACAGUCUCUCUCUCUCUCUCUCGGUCGCCGCUUCCCUGCCUCUCUCUCGGUCGCCCAAGGCAUGAGGAUGAUGUUAGUCGGCAACCCCUACGUGUGUCGUUGAAAUGGAUGGAGUAAGAAUCAUUUUGAAGCUACGAGGGGGGUGUGCGUUGAGUGGGUGCUUUCGCUUGGGAUCGACGUCGAGAUCUCCUUUUGCUGCUUUGCUUUUAUUGACUCCUUCACUGCGACCGAUACGAUGAAACCAUGUCUUAAACCCUUCUCGGAUCUCAAUCGCAAAUCCACUUCUCCCACUUUCCGCUCUAAUGGACGCCGCCGCCGCUUCUCGUCCCGCUGUUGUCAUAGAUAACGGCACUGGUUAUACAAAGAUGGGAUUUGCCCGUAAUGUUGAACCGUGUUUCAUCAUCCCCACCGUGGUUGCUGUUGACGAGUCAUUUACGAACCAAUCCAGGAGUUCUAUGAAGGGUAGUAAUUGGCUUGCCCAACACAGCGCGGGCGUAAUGGCCGAUCUUGACUUCUUCAUUGGAGACGAGGCUACUGCUCGAUCUUAAUCUAGUAAUACUUACAAUCUUGGUUACCUGAUUCGUCAUGGUCAGGUGGAGAAUUGGGAUGCCAUGGAGCGAUUCUGGCAACAGUGUAUCUUCAAUGUGACCCGGAGGAUCAUUAUUUCCUUCUCACUGAGUCUCCCCUCACUCCUCCCGAGAGUCGAGAGUAGAGAGUACACUGGCGAGAUUAUGUUUGAGACCUUAAUGUCCCGGGCCUUUAUAUUGCGGUGCAGCCAGUGCUUGCUCUUGCCGCUGGGUACACAACUUCUGGGAACAUGAUAAAGGUACUGAUAAAAAGAUUACACGUUCUAAAUACACCAAUAGUGAUGGUGCAGGUACUUCUACUACAAUUCAUCAGGGCAAUCAACGUGUACAAGGAAGACAGAUGAAUGAGCUAAGGAUACAAAUCGCAAAUCAGAUGGCAGUAGAUAAGGGUUACCCCCUGAUUUGAUUGUUUAUGUAAUAAAAUUUCAAGACACCUAUUUGCAGCUAUGAUUUUUAUUUUGUAAUUCC